AGGCAACAAUCAGAUUAAAAACAAAAAUAGAUUUUAACAUUCAAUCCAACAUCUUUUGUUAAGUAUAUUAGAGCCAAUUUUCAUCUUUAAUCUCGACACACAAAAUUCGUUAAGCAUUUUAUUCAAAAAUAGAUGUAGUUUUUGGUUGAGAACAUAUGGGCAAACUUGGGCAAUUAGAGAGAACAGAAUUCAAAGUCUAUAGUAGUGGAAUAAGGAUGAAUAUGGGCAGUGGAAAUAAUGUGUUAUCACAGACACGGAGGAACUGCUUGCUGGCUAGAUCCCAAUUUAACCAAUAGUUGGGAAUGAUGAUGCAAGUAACCAGAGAAGGGGGUAUAGAGGGGGCCUAACUGAUUUGGGUAGCUUAGUGCUUCAGAUCAGCUUCUAAGAAAACUCGCUUGGGCUUGACAAUACGAGGUGAUUUGAUCCGUUGCCCGGUGAUCUCUGAGCUAUCAUACACAGCCUGAUAUGUUUUCUAAUCCUCUCAGAUUUUCCAAAUCAAUCAAUAAAAGCUCUGCCAAUAUUCACUCCUCUGCUCAACUCCACUGACCCAUCUCACGAAGCCACCAGAAAACAUAAAUGGAAAUCCACGGUAGUCUGGACACUCAACGACCUGCUUUUAGGUUUAUUUUGGUAGUGGAUUGGGCUUAAUCGUG
rnacentral:lncRNA from 1 species